UCCGAUAUGGUGUAACGGUCAGCAUCGCCGGUUUUCAUAUAUGAUGACCUUUAUCUCGGCAGAUCGGGGUUCGAUUCCCCGUAUCGGAG
rnacentral:tRNA from 1 species